GUCGAGCGGCGGACGGGUGAGUAAUGCCUAGGAAAUUGCCCUGAUGUGGGGGAUAACCAUUGGAAACGAUGGCUAAUACCGCAGGAUGCCUACGGGCCAAAGAGGGGGACCUUCGGGCCUCUCGCGUCAGGAUAUGCCUAGGUGGGAUUAGCUAGUUGGUGAGGUAAGGGCUCACCAAGGCGACGAUCCCUAGCUGGUCUGAGAGGAUGAUCAGCCACACUGGAACUGAGACACGGUCCAGACUCCUACGGGAGGCAGCAGUGGGGAAUAUUGCACAAUGGGCGCAAGCCUGAUGCAGCCAUGCCGCGUGUGUGAAGAAGGCCUUCGGGUUGUAAAGCACUUUCAGUCGUGAGGAAGGUGGUGGUGUUAAUAGCAGUAUCAUUUGACGUUAGCGACAGAAGAAGCACCGGCUAACUCCGUGCCAGCAGCCGCGGUAAUACGGAGGGUGCGAGCGUUAAUCGGAAUUACUGGGCGUAAAGCGCAUGCAGGUGGUUUGUUAAGUCAGAUGUGAAAGCCCGGGGCUCAACCUCGGAAUAGCAUUUGAAACUGGCAGACUAGAGUACUGUAGAGGGGGGUAGAAUUUCAGGUGUAGCGGUGAAAUGCGUAGAGAUCUGAAGGAAUACCGGUGGCGAAGGCGGCCCCCUGGACAGAUACUGACACUCAGAUGCGAAAGCGUGGGGAGCAAACAGGAUUAGAUACCCUGGUAGUCCACGCCGUAAACGAUGUCUACUUGGAGGUUGUGGCCUUGAGCCGUGGCUUUCGGAGCUAACGCGUUAAGUAGACCGCCUGGGGAGUACGGUCGCAAGAUUAAAACUCAAAUGAAUUGACGGGGGCCCGCACAAGCGGUGGAGCAUGUGGUUUAAUUCGAUGCAACGCGAAGAACCUUACCUACUCUUGACAUCCAGAGAACUUUCCAGAGAUGGAUUGGUGCCUUCGGGAACUCUGAGACAGGUGCUGCAUGGCUGUCGUCAGCUC
rnacentral:rRNA from 1 species